AGAGUUUGAUCAUGGCUCAGAUUGAACGCUGGCGGCAUGCUUUACACAUGCAAGUCGAGCGGCAGCGCGGGGGCAACCCUGGCGGCGAGCGGCGGACGGGUGAGUAAUGCAUCGGAACGUAUCCCGUAGUGGGGGACAACCCAGCGAAAGCUGGGCUAAUACCGCAUAUGCUCUACGGAGGAAAGUGGGGGACCCGCAAGGGCCUCACGCUAUGGGAGCGGCCGAUGUCCGAUUAGCUAGUUGGUGGGGUAAAGGCCUACCAAGGCGACGAUCGGUAGCUGGUCUGAGAGGAUGAUCAGCCACACUGGGACUGAGACACGGCCCAGACUCCUACGGGAGGCAGCAGUGGGAAUUUUGGACAAUGGGGGCAACCCUGAUCCAGCCAUGCCGCGUGCGGGAAGAAGGCCUUCGGGUUGUAAACCGCUUUUGUUCGGGAAGAAAAGGCACGUCCUAAUACGGCGUGUUCUUGACGGUACCGGAAGAGUAAGCACCGGCUAACUACGUG
rnacentral:rRNA from 1 species